CUUUCUUUCAUUCUUUAUUUCUUUCUUUAAAACAGAGUCUCGAUGUGUAGUCCAGGCUGGCCUUGAACUCACUAUGUGGCCCAGACUGGCCUUGACACCUCAUGGUGAUCCUCCUGCCUCAGCCUCCCGAGUGCUGAGAUUAUAGGUGUGCACCACCACAUGUGGUGGCAAAUGUUUCUUAAAUAGGAAAACUAAACCACUGUAAGAACAAAUUGACCAAAUUGAUGUCUGCAAAAUUAAAACCUGCUCUCCUAGGGACAUUGUUAAGCGAAUUAAAAGAUAAGCUGUGGGGCUGGGAAAAACAUUUGCCAAGGCAAAUGACUGGUAAAGAAUUUUAUAUCCAGAAUAUAUAAAAAUUUCAGAAGCAAUCAGAUAGGCUAGGGAUCCAGCACUUGCCUAUCUUGUGUCCCAGAUCCUAUAAAAUUUUUAAAAACCAAUUAAACUCAUGUGCAAUCUCUUUUGAGACAAAGAAGAUAAAACUGGCAAAUAAGCACCCGAAAAGAUGCGAGGCCACACUCUAUACCCACGAGAAUAGCUAGCAUGAGACACAGACUAGACCAGCACGGGGCAAGCUUCAUCUUUCUCUUCAUACGCUUCGGGAAAUGUACAACGAUGUCCCUAUUUUGGAAAAUACAGUGUGAAAUACAGAACUCCUCCAGCCAUUCUGUUCCCAGGCGUCUCCCUACAAGAAAGCACAUGUCUGUUCAAAGAUUUGUACGCAGUUGUCUGUAGCAGCUUUAUUUGUGACACCCUAAAACUAGACAUAAUCCAAAUGUCCACCCAUAGGGAAGGGGAUCAGCAAACCCUGGUUCAUAUCCCUGCAAUAGAAUACACACCCUUCACUGACCCAACGGAGUGGACCAGUGAUAUGAUCGGAAUGGUUAUGCUGAGGGAAAGGCGGAAGAUUUCAAGUGGACGCCCGAACCCUCCGCUUCUCCUGCAUCCACAAUGCCAGGUGGCCGUGCAGCCGAGGAGCCCCAGUUCUCCCAUACAGGAAGGCGUGGCAUCCCUGGAGCAAAACUAGGGCUAGAACUUUCGAGACCGAGCAGGCCCUGCUCACACUGCAUGGCCAAGGCAGCUGAAAUCCUAGUGGAAGCCACUGAAACAGCACUGCCACCAUCAACUCCCUGUGGCAACAAAGACAUCUCCUUGGAAC
rnacentral:lncRNA from 1 species